UCGCGCGCGCUCAGUCUUUUGGGAUUAAGAACGAGAUAAAGUAUGCUGUUGUUUCGUCCUGAUUUUUCACAAUUCAGGGACCAGUUGGGCUCCCGGUGGGGUUUCGAGGGUAGCCCGUACCUUGCAAGACUUUGCUGGACAAAAGCCCUGGCCUCAGCUCGCCUUGGCCCUGAGAGUUUAAACGUCUCUUCCCGAGUUUCAGACCGUCAGCGCCCUGCAGGACCGACGUGAGCCGGCAGCAGAUCUUGAAUCUGAAUCAACCUUAAUCCAGAGGCCCAGCAGGCAGGAGGGCCUGGUGUCUCAGGGUGUGAUCGGAGGAGUCACGAGCUUGCCUGUGCAGAGCCUGCUGCUGUCUGAGGACAGAGGAAGAGGAAAGUCAAACCCGGAGCAAACGUGCCCUACUAGCCUCAAUACUCAUAGGAGGAGGGAUAGCAGCCGGCACAGGCACAGGAACGAACCGCCGGCCUGGGGACCUCAUUGGGUCUGUACUACAAGCUAUCCCGAGAACUUACUGAAGACAUGGAACAGAUAUCAGAUUCCUUGUUAUCCCUCCAGAGCCAGCUAGAUGCACUGGCGGCAGUCACGCUGCAAAAUAGGUGACCGCUCGAUCUCACUGCAGAAAAGGGGGAACUUGUGUAUUCCUUGGAGAAGAGCGCUGUUACUGUGUAAAUCGGGUCGUCACUGCACAGUAAGGGAACUGAAAGAGGCUUCAAAAGAGAAAACAAGAACUAAACUCAGGAUGGGGCCUUGGUCUGGGCCAGUGGUUACUUCCUUGGUUACUUCCUUUGGCAGGACCACUGAUAACAAUCCUAUUGGUAACUAUAGGCCCAUGCCUACUCGGCACCCCAAUAAAGUUUACAGAGACAACAGUAACUCAAAGGGCCACAGCCCGUAUAAUGGCCCCACGAGGCUAUCACCCCUUAAGUAGCAAUCCUUUAGAAGUUGAUGCUCCUGUCUAGAGGCAAAAGAAGCAUCAAAGGGGGGGAAUGUCAGGGCGUUCCACCAAAACCUGCCUGCCUCGCUUAUCCUACUCCUGAUUGAGCCGCUGCUAAUGCUCACAGCUGAUUGGGUGAUUUUGGAUCAUACUGCAGAAUGGAAGUGGCACCUUGCCUUUCUGACAGAUGUAACAGAGCUACUCAACAGUUUCAGUGUGCAACUUCAAGGAAAGGGGAAGCUCAUCUGUGAUAUGUAAAUCACAUGUGAAAGCAUUUGAAGUAAAAUUAAGCCUCCUCAUCAAACAAGUGAAGGAGGAAAAUUUCUGCUAUCUCCCCACAACUCAAAAUCUGUUAGCAGAAAAACCAUUGGUUGUAUUCCCAAACAAAAUGUGUGGAUUCACUGGAAAAGUUGCAAAAGGAGUUCCAAUUUAGAUUUAAAGAGCUUCAUCUCCAUGAAUAGGACAUACAGCUUUUCCAUAACCCAUUUUCUAUUGACAUUGAAAAUGUGGAUGCAGUUUAUCAAAUGGAACUGGCUGAACUGCAGAAUUGUGACUCUCUGAAAGACGCAUUCAAGUCUUCCUAAUUUCUAUGUGCCUCUCCCCUCUGAGACAUACCCUAAUCUCAGGAACCAUACACUCAAAAUGGCAACCAUCUUUGGCAGCACUUAUGUCUGUGAACAGACUUUACAGAAUGAAACAUCUGAAAUCUCCAACCAGACCUAGACUAACUGAUGCAUACAAGCACCACUUGUUACGACUAGCGGUGACAAAUAUAGAACCAGACAUCGACCAUCUCAUUAGCCAAAAGCAGCCCCAUAGUUCCCGUUGAAAUACUGGGCCACCCCCUUGGCCAUGCGUGUCAAACCCCAGUGUCGCUCACGGCUUCCUCAAGGGAAGACAGUCGUGCCUUUCUGUGUGACCAGUGAUGGGGGUGCCCCCACCCGUAAUAGCCAUUUUUCAGCCCCAGGUCACAGGCUAGGACGCGUGUGUUUCCUCCGUGCUGCACUGGUGUGGUCCUUUUUCUCUCGUCUGUUUCCUGCACCCCAUAAUGGGAAACUUACCAUCUUCUGUCCCCUUUUCUUCUCCUCUGGCCUAUGUCCUUUUUGCUCUGAAGCCCCUCAGACUUUAUCCUGACUUUAAGCCCAAAUGCCUCAUCUUUUGUAACACAGCCUCGUCCCAAUAUAAAUUAGAUGAUGGGUCACUGGCCCAAAAAUGCGACCUUUGCCCUCCCUAUUGUCCAGAUCUUGAUAAGGUAACGUUUGCUGACCGGGGUAAGUGGUCCGAGCCUCCCUGUGUCCAGGGCUUUCUUUGCUGUCCACUCACAGCCCUCAUCUCUCACUGCGACCCUUCUCAGCUUUUCCUUUCUUCUGCCCCUCCUCGCUCAGUCAGACCGGGACCCGCUGGACCCUGCAGAUCACUUAGCCCUAGCCCUCUCCGCCCCCAGCCUGCUCCUUCCCCCCUGCACUGACUUGGCCCUAGUCAUCACCUCCCCCUUCCAGGGUUGCUGGGGCAGAAGGAAUCGUUUGUGUCCACAUCCCCCUUUCCCUCACAGACCUCUCCCAGAUCCAUACGCCUGGGUGUCUUCUCAGCAGAUUCCACUAAAUUUAUUCAGAAAUUCCAGUACUUUUGCCUAUCAUAUGAUAUUCCUGUCAACCUCCAAAUACCCUCAGUUCCCAUGAAGGUGACAGAGUGUGGGCUGACGGCCCAGUCACAUGCUGACAAUCAGUGGCGAGGGACCUGCCCUCGCUGAGGCCCGUGCUAUUCUAGAGGACCCCCCUUUGGAGUGUCAGCACAGUUCCCCAGAUCUCAGGCUCGGCCCCUGAGAUCAUGAGUGCCUGCCUGGUGGAAGCACUAAGAAAGGCGGCACAUGAAGCCGUUGGUUCUAACCAAUUAAGAGAAACAACCCAAACCCAAGAUAAGAAUCCUGCCCAAUUCUGGGAGCGAUUAGUAAGGCUAUGCAGAAAUUCUCUACGGACCCAGAGGGUUCCAAUGGCCGACUAAUCUCAAAAUGCAUCUCAUUUCCCAGUCCGCUCCAGACCUUAAAAAGAAACUCCAAAAGCUAGACCUCGGCCCCCAAGCCCCACAGCAGGAACUUACAGUGGUGGCCUUUAAGGUCUUUAACAACGGAGGAAGUGGCCCGUAAACAAAGACUAACUGAACUGCAGAUGCUUGGCUCUGCCGUCACACAGCCCAAUAGCAGCAGUGCCAAAAAGACUACUAAGCCCGGUCUAGGAUUCCAGAGUCCGCCCGGGCCUUGUUUCAAAUGUGGCCAAAGUGGCCACUGGGCUAGAAAGUGUCUGCAGCCUGGAACUCCCCCU